rnacentral:rRNA from 1 species
GACGAACGCUGGCGGCGUGCCUAAUACAUGCAAGUCGAACGCUUCUUUCCUCCCGAGUGCUUGCACUCAAUUGGAAAGAGGAGUGGCGGACGGGUGAGUAGCACGUGGGUAACCUACCCAUCAGAGGGGGAUAACACUUGGAAACAGGUGCUAAUACCGCAUAACAGUUUAUGCCGCAUGGCAUAAGAGUGAAAGGCGCUUUCGGGUGUCGCUGAUGGAUGGACCCGCGGUGCAUUAGCUAGUUGGUGAGGUAACGGCUCACCAAGGCCACGAUGCAUAGCCGACCUGAGAGGGUGAUCGGCCACACUGGGACUGAGACACGGCCCAGACUCCUACGGGAGGCAGCAGUAGGGAAUCUUCGGCAAUGGACGAAAGUCUGACCGAGCAACGCCGCGUGAGUGAAGAAGGUUUUCGGAUCGUAAAACUCUGUUGUUAGAGAAGAACAAGGACGUUAGUAACUGAACGUCCCCUGACGGUAUCUAACCAGAAAGCCACGGCUAACUACGUG